AUACAACCAGGAGCUGAAGGGACCAGCUUGGCCGUCAGUUGCAAGGGUGUGAGGCAGAAGCAACACAAAAGAUCUUGAUAUGAAGCAAUUAUUUUUGGUCUUAAACUGCUGGGACUCCAGAUGACCCAGACCACGGUCAGCAGGCAGAAGCCAGAUGCUAUUGUCAACAGAAUUGCCUUCAAGAUUCCUUUUCUGAUUGUUCAUUGCUGAGACAUGGUCUUGCUCUGUCACCUAGGCCGUAAUACAGUGGCGUGAUCCUAGCUCACAGCAGCCUCCAACUCCUGGGCUCAAGAGAUCCUCCUGCCUCAGCCUUCUGACUAGCUGGGACUACAGGAAUGUGCUACCACACCCAGCUAAUUUUUUAAUUUUUUGCAGAGAUGACAUCUCACUAUAUUGCCCAGGCUGGUCUUGAACUUCUAGCCUCAAGCAAUCCUCCCACCUCAGCCUCUGAACGUACUGGAAUUACAGAUGGAGCAACUGAGAUUCUUCCCCAACUAGACUAUAAGUUCUCUGAGGGAUAAGGAACAUGUCUGGUUUCCUCAUCUCUCUGUCACAGCACCCUGUGAAUGCCUAGAAGACAGUAAGAAUCAACUGAAUGUUUGUAGAAAGAAUAACGAUACUUACCUAUAGUCUAAAGGUUUAGUGAUGAAAUGAAGUCCACUAACUUCUCUCUGCUUACUUCCACCCUCAAUAACAUAUUUCCUCAAACCCCACAG
rnacentral:lncRNA from 1 species